rnacentral:rRNA from 1 species
GGAGCCCAAUGCGUCGGAGAUUCCUCAGAAUCAAAUGACUCUCGGCAAUGGAUAUCUCGGCUCUUGCAUCGAUGAAGAACGUAGUGAAAUGCGAUACUUGGUGUGAAUUGCAGAAUCUCGUGAACCAUUGAGUCUUUGAACGCAAGUUGUGCCCGAGGCCUUGUGGUUGAGGGCACGCCUGCAUGGGCGCCAUGGCAUCGUCGCCUUUGC